rnacentral:rRNA from 1 species
UACGAGGGCUCCAAGCAUUAUCCGGAUUUAUUGGGCGUAAAGGGUCCGCAGGCGGCCAGACGCAUCUCCUGUUAAAUCUUCGGGCUUAACCCGGAGGCCGCGGGAGAGAUGGUCUGGCUAGAGACCGGAAGAGGCAAACGGAAUUGUUGGUGUAGGGGUUAAAUCCGUUAAUAUCAACAAGAACACCAAAUGCGAAGGCAGUUUGCUAGGACGGUUCUGACGCUCAGGGACGAAAGCGUGGGGAG